GAAAUGCGAUAAGUAAUGUGAAUUGCAGAAUUCAGUGAAUCAUCGAAUCUUUGAACGCACAUUGCGCCCCCUGGCAUUCCGGGGGGCAUGCCUGUUCGAGCGUCAUUACACCACUCAAGCCUGGCUUGGUAUUGAGCGCCGCGGCCUGCCCGCGCGCUCCAAUGUCUCCGGCUGAGCCGUCCGUCUCUAAGCGUUGUGAAUAGCGAUCGCUUGCGAGGCCCGGGCGGUUCGACGCCGUUAAACCCCCAUUUUCUAUGGUUGACCUCGGAUCAGGUAGGGAUACCCGCUGAACUUAAGC
rnacentral:misc_RNA from 1 species